CUAUAAAAGUGAGAAAGAAACUAAUGCAGGCUGCAUCACGUGGCAUGUGUAUUUGUGAGCAUGUAAGGGUAUAAUGGAGGCGGCUGGCUGCUGACAGCGCCCUGCUUCAACUGAAGUCUGGUGUGUGGUGCUGGGCCGAAAAGGGCUGCUACUUUUCCUUACCGAACUGUGAGUGUUUUGAGGGAGCAGAUCCUCAGCUGCUCAUUUCUCUGGAAUUGGGCUAAUUGAAAGCAUGCAAGGGUCCAGCUGGUAUUUCUGCCUGUGAUAAAAGGCGUGAAGAACACUGAACAAGAUGACAGUCUUAGAGGUGCUGCAGGCAGGCUGUGUAGGCCUCUACAUGCUCCAAAGGCAGGGAGCAAACAUUGGCCUUUUUCUUCAGGCAUCAUGUUCUCCCUGAUGUCCACCUGCGGUAAUGGAGCUAUACAGUAUGGUGGGCACUGCUGAUGGGGGCUGAGAUUCACGCUGAGGAGGUCUGGAAAAGCCUAGCAAUGAGUAAUAAGGUAGUGGAGAAUUCAUCUGCUUGUGCUUGGAUGGAGCUUCCUGUAAUAUUACAAAUGACCUCAUGGAGAGGGCAAAGAUGUACAAAUUGUUUGACUACUGCCAUUCAUGGGGUUAUAGCACACAGACAUCAUUGAGAUGUUAUCACUGUACAGGAUUUCUGCAAGUCAUUCAGUCUGGAGUGGAGAUGAUCUGCUGUGGGAACAGCAAGAGCAGUGUUUUAGGUUGAGAAUGCUUUCCAGCCUCCUCACCUGGUGCUCGAUCCCUGUGGGAAAGGACCUGGAAUGUGAGGUGCUUGUUGCAUACUUUCUCCAGGCCCUCAGUCUGGCUGACUGAGUUUCCAGAAAGUCUCAGGCAAGCACAGAAACCUGUCGUGCAGGCUGGCACAUCAGAAGCGAGACAGCGUUCAGAAUGCAGUGUGCUGACAGGAACUGCAAAUGCAUUUAAAGAUGGAGAAGUAGCAAAAAGUGGCAGCUUGAAACAAAACACAUGAAUAAGAAUUAAUGAAAUUUGAUCACAUGUAAGCAACUUGUUGGGUAGAAGUAAACCAAAGCAGAUGUUUAAUUGAGGCAAUAUGCUUGGCAAUAAACAAUGGCAAAGGAUACAUAGGUGAAAGUUAAACGAGAGUCUGUCUGUGGGUUAUAGAAUUGCUUUAUAAAGCUGUGGUGCCUGCAUUUAAAAUACUGUCUUAUUUCCGUGCUUUUUCAGUGUCAGAAUGACAUAAACAACCUGGAAGGAAUUGAGAUAAGAGAGCCAUAAAUAAUUAAAAUGCUGGAGGGGAGUGCUGAAGAAAAAGGCAAGUACUGAUAGAGUUUGGCAAAGUGUGGGCUAGGGAAAGACAUAAAUCUUACUCCAUUGAGAAUAAUAGCACAGAAGGGAGGACAGCAUUGCAAUUGGGUCUAUGUGAGCAGAUUCUUCUGGUGUGUGGGUCUGAUGGAGCUGCGUGGCCUGCGUCUGCAGGGGCAGGCUUAAACAGAGCAGGCUGCAGGAGCAAGGCUUCCUCAAAACUGAAAGCUAACAGUUACAAAGCUCAAGGGAAGACCAGCUGCCGAAAUGUGAGAGGAGAACAAGUCCGGUGCAGGAAAAAAAAACUGCUAGGGAAGUGUGAUGAAAU
rnacentral:lncRNA from 1 species